GACGAACCGUGCGAACGUUGUUCGGAAUCACUGGGCUUAAAGGGCGCGUAGGCGGGUUCGCAAGUCUGUGGUGAAAGCCUCCAGCUUAACUGGAGAAGUGCCAUGGAUACUGCGAGCCUCGAGGAGGGUAGGGGCAUCUGGAACAGUAGGUGGAGCGGUGAAAUGCGUUGAUAUCUACUGGAACUCCGGUGGCGAAGGCGAGGUGCUGGACCCUUUCUGACGCUGAGGCGCGAAAGCCAGGGGAGCGAACGGG
rnacentral:rRNA from 1 species